rnacentral:rRNA from 1 species
AGCAGCCGCGGUAAUUCCAGCUCCAAUAGCGUAUAUUAAAGUUGCUGCAGUUAAAAAGCUCGUAGUUGAAUUUCGGGACUAUUAUGUCGGUCGUGCCUCGGUACGUACUGGUAUUUUUGGUUUCUCCCUUCUGACGAACCUUGAUGUCAUUAAUUUGGUGUCUUGGGAAAUCAGGACUGUUACUUUGAAAAAAUUGAGUGUUUAAAGCAGGCUCACGCUUGAAUACAUUAGCAUGGAAUAAUGAAAUAGGACGUUUGAUUCUAUUUUGUUGGUUCCUAGGAUUGACGUAAUGAUUAAUAGGGAUAGUUGGGGCAUUAGUAUUCAAUUGUCAGAGUGAAAUUCUUGGAUUAUUGAAGACUAACUACUGCGAAAGCAUUUGCCAAGGAUGUUUCAUUAAUCUAAGAACGAAAGUUAGGGAU